rnacentral:tRNA from 1 species
GCGAGGAUAGCUCAGCGGCUAAGAGCACCGGGUUUCAUUCCGGAGAGACUGGUUCAACUCCAGUUCCUCGCC